GAUGAACGCUGGCGGCGUGCCUAAUACAUGCAAGUCGAGCGAACAGACGAGGAGCUUGCUCCUCUGACGUUAGCGGCGGACGGGUGAGUAACACGUGGAUAACCUACCUAUAAGACUGGGAUAACUUCGGGAAACCGGAGCUAAUACCGGAUAAUAUAUUGAACCGCAUGGUUCAAUAGUGAAAGACUGUUUUGCUGUCACUUAUAGAUGGAUCCGCGCCGCAUUAGCUAGUUGGUAAGGUAACGGCUUACCAAGGCAACGAUGCGUAGCCGACCUGAGAGGGUGAUAGGCCACACUGGAACUGAGACACGGUCCAGACUCCUACGGGAGGCAGCAGUAGGGAAUCUUCCGCAAUGGGCGAAAGCUUGACGGAGCAACGCCGCGUGAGUGAUGAAGGUCUUCGGAUCGUAAAACUCUGUUAUUAGGGAAGAACAAAUGUGUAAGUAACUAUGCACGUCUUGACGGUACCUAAUCAGAAAGCCACGGCUAACUACGUG
rnacentral:rRNA from 1 species